rnacentral:tRNA from 1 species
ACAUUGGUGGCUCAGUGGUAGAAUUCCUGCUUUCCGUGCAGGAGACCCAGGUUCAGUUCCCAGCCAAUGCA